CCUUGUUACUGCUCAAAAACGUAAAACUCAAAACUCAACGUUCUUCGCCGCAACCUCGCCAUAGUCGUAGCCGGCCAUCACCGCAUUUUCGCCGGUGUUUUGUUGCCGCAACCUCGCCGGAGCACGAUUUCGCGAACCCUAGCGCCGUCGUCUUCUUCAUCUUCACAUUUCAACUCAGGCAACCAAGAAGAUAGAAGAUGCUAAAUUGGCCAAAGGUUUUCAAAAUGUGAGUGAACUUUGGAACAUCCGCGGCGUAAGCACGCAUCAUGAGGU